UUGCUUGCUUCUUGAAAUGCUUGGUUGAACAGCAGUGCAGAGCUGUAAAAAUUGGUUUAUUUUAAUGCGCUUUAUGGGUCUGAUUGUUAACAGAAAAGGCCCGAGGGCUGUGUGAGUCUGUGCUUGUGCACUUCUGCACUAAACUUUUAUGUGUGUGCUCUCCCACACUGUGUAAAUGGUAUAUGUGACCACAUGAACCACUUGUGCCCUAAGCAAGCUUCUGUUCAGGCACAAUAGCAGCUCCAGUGUCAGUGUGGUGGCCACUGGCAUCCAGAAGGAUCUCCACCUUGUGAAACCCAGACACUAGGGAUCUAGAAGCAAUGGAGAGAUUGUACACAUGCAGAAUAUAUGUAUCCUUGCCACAGCUCCAGUUACUCAGGAUGUCCCUAUAAACCUACUUCGGAUAUCUCAGCUGCCUAACAGGCUUGCUGCACCCAUGAGACACGGGUUUUGCCUUCCAGUGUCAACACACCAUUAAACAUGCCCACAAGCUCAAGUGCUUCAAGCACGCAAACUGGGAGAAAGUCAACAAACAAUAAGGACCAAGCUUCUGCUCUACAAAGUGUGAGCCAGCUCUGCCUUUGAUGCUAUGCACAAAGUUUCCUUGUUCUUGUUUUCCUAAUUCCUGCCCAUCUGAUCCCAACAUAAGGCCAGUUUCAGCCAUUGACAAAAUAUUUCCGUGUCUAUUCUAUCUAUGUCACAGCUUUCUAGAACCACAGAUAGCUUCAACCUAGCAAACGACAACUGAGAGGCAGUGACAUGCCCUCUGCGUUUGAAAAUAAAACACAAGAGCAAUCAGCUUCUCUCACCCACAGAUAUCUAUCACUUCAUGCUGGAUGGCUGCUGUGUUGUUUUAUUCUGCUUUUGAUGAUCCCCUCUUCGCUCGUGAUCUGGCCAAGACGUAGAAAUACUGGGAGCAUCUGAAAGAGAUUACCACUCUGCUGCUCUAAAAGAGGCUUCAGAUAGCUGAUAGGGCAGAGGAAAGGGAUGGAAUACCCUUAGAAACCACCAUGAUCUCAUUGAACUUAAUCAUGUAUUUCAUGUCCCUCCCAACAACAGGCAAAACACAGUUGUAGUGGUCUGGGGAUCACACAGAGGAAGAGAAUGUUAAUUCCAUUAGAGUCAAUUGGGGGAGAAAAAUAAUCUUCCUGCAAAAUUAACAAAGAAAAUGAAAAGAAAUAAAUCUUAGUGCAGUGUU